rnacentral:rRNA from 1 species
AGUCCACAUCAACGGGGAGGGUUGGCCCCUCGAUUUCGGCACAUCACAUCCUGGGGCUGUAGUAGGUCCCAAGGGUUGGGCUGUUCGCCCAUUAAAGUGGUACGCGAGCUGGGUUCAGAACGUCGUGAGACAGUUCGGUCCCUAUCCGUCGCAGGCGUAGGAAAUUUGAGAAGACCUGUCCUUAGUACGAGAGGACCGGGAUGGACGUACCUCUGGUGUACCAGUUGUCCUGCCAAGGGCAUGGCUGGGUAGCUAGGUACGGAAUGGAUAAGCGCUGAAAGCAUCUAAGCGCGAAGCCAACUUCAAGAUAAGAUUUCCCACCGCAAGGGUAAGACCCCAGAAAGACUAUCUGGUUGAUAGGUCGAAGGUGUAAGUGCAGCAAUGUAUUUAGCUUAUCGAUACUAAUAGGUCGAGGACUUGACCA